rnacentral:rRNA from 1 species
GUCCUUGCCGUAAACGAUGUGGAUUAGGUGUUGGGGGUGUCGAUCCCUCCAGCGCCGACGCUAACGCAUUAAAUCCACCACCUGGGGAGUACGGUCGCAAGACUGAAACUCAAAGAAAUUGACGGGGACCCGCACAAGCGGUGGAGCAUGUGGUUUAAUUCGAGGCUACGCGAAGAACCUUACCCAGGCUUGAAAAGCAGUUGACAGCCCAUGAAAGUGGGUCUUCUCGCAAGAGACAAUUGUACAGGUGCUGCAUGGCUGUCGU